GCAAAACGCGAAGAACCUUACCAAGGCUUGACAUCCCUCUGACCGAUUUAGAGAUAGAUCUUUCCCUUCGGGGACAGAGGUGACAGGUGGUGCAUGGUUGUCGUCAGCUCGUGUCGUGAGAUGUUGGGUUAAGUCCCGCAACGAGCGCAACCCUUAUCUUUAGUUGCCAGCAUUUAGUUGGGCACUCUAGAGAGACUGCCGGUGACAAACCGGAGGAAGGUGGGGAUGACGUCAAAUCAUCAUGCCCCUUAUGUCUUGGGCUACACACGUGCUACAAUGGUUGGUACAAAGGGCUGCAAGCCAGCGAUGGUUAGCCAAUCCCAUAAGCCAAUCUCAGUUCGGAUUGUAGGCUGCAACUCGCCUACAUGAAGUCGGAAUCGCUAGUAAUCGCAGAUCAGCAUGCUGCGGUGAAUACGUUCCCGGGUCUUGUACACACCG
rnacentral:rRNA from 1 species